AGUAAAUAGAUACCCCGGUAGUCCACGCCCUAAACGAUGUCAACUAGUUGUCGGGUCUUAAUUGACUUGGUAAACGCAGCUAAACGCGUGAAAGUUGACCGCCUGGGGAGUACGGCCGCAAGGUUAAAACUCAAAGGAAUUGACGGGACCCGCACAAGCGGUGGAUGAUGUGGAUUAAUUCGAUGCAACGCGAAAAACCUUACCUACGUUUGACAUGCCAGGAAGGCUGGAGAGAUCUGGCUGUGCCCGAAAGGGAACCUGGACACAGGUGCUGCAUGGCUGUCGUCAGCUCGUGUCGUGAGAUGUUGGGUUAAGCCCCGCAACGAGCGCAACCCUUAUCAUUAGUUGCUACGCAAGGGCACUCUAAUGAGACUGCCGGUGACAAACCGGAGGAAGGUGGGGAUGACGUCAAGUCCUCAUGGCCCUUACACGUAGGGCUUCACACGUCAUACAAUGGUCGGUACAGAGGGCUGCCAACCCGCGAGGGGUAGCCAAUCCCAGAAAACCGAUCGUAGUCCGGAUUGCACUCUGCAACUCGAGUGC
rnacentral:rRNA from 1 species